rnacentral:tRNA from 1 species
CAGGGAGACAACAAAAUGUUUAAUAUUAUAAUUUUGUCACCUUAGGUCGAUCGGUAUCUCACGUUCUUAAUUUAUUAAGAAUUUCAUUUUCUAAGUUUUUCUAGGUCACACCCAUUAUUUUUCCUGGGCCAUUAGCUCAGGUGGUUAGAGCGCACCCCUGAUAAGGGUGAGGUCCCUGGUUCAAGUCCAGGAUGGCCCAUAUCUCUAUGUUGGGGGUAUAGCUCAGUUGGUAGAGCGCCUGCUUUGCAAGCAGGAUGUCAGCGGUUCGAGUCCGCUUACCUCCACUGAUUACCACCUCUUCCAUAAUCUGUAGAAAGGAAAUGUUUUGAGUUGUGAUCGAUUUCUGAACGAAUCUAGCUUCCUAAUUAAAUUAUUAAGAUGCUGGACUCAUUGAAUUAAUUUCAUUGUUUUCAGAGAACCUUGACAACUGCAUAGAUUUUUUUAAAGACAAUAAGCAUCUUUAAUGAUGCAGAUUUAUUAUUUGUGCGAAUGCAUUAAUAACAAUUCUAUUAAGCUGAUGCUUCAAUUUUGAAGUUAUU